rnacentral:rRNA from 1 species
AUUGAACGCUGGCGGCAGGCCUAACACAUGCAAGUCGAGCGAGCGGCGGACGGGUGAGUAAUGUAUGGGGACUGCCCGAUAGAGGGGGAUAACUACUGGAAACGGUGGCUAAUACCGCAUACUAUCGGAUAACCCAUAUUGGAUUAGCUAGUAUGUGAGGUAAAGGCUCACCAAGCCGACGAUCUCUAGCUGGUCUGAGAGGAUGACCAGCCCCCCUGGGACUGAGACACGGCCCAGACUCCCACGGAGGCAGCAGUGGGGAAUAUUGCACAAUGGGCGCAAGCCUGAUGCAGCCAUGCCGCGUGUAUGAAGAAGGCCUUCGGGUUGUAAAGUACUUUCAGUCGGGAGGCGUUACCGACAGAAGAAGCACCGGCUAACUCCGUGCCAGCAGCCGCGGUAAUAC